UCACUCCAUCCCCACUCUAGUUUCAUCCAGGAUCGAGCAGGGCGAAUGGGGGGGGAGGCACCCGAGCUGGCCCUGGACCCGGUGCCUCAGGAUGCGUCCACCAAGAAGCUGAGCGAGUGUCUCAAGCGCAUCGGGGACGAACUGGACAGUAACAUGGAGCUGCAGAGAUGAUUGCCGCCGUGGACACAGACUCCCCCCGAGAGGUCUUUUUCCGAGUGGCAGCUGACAUGUUUUCUGACGGCAACUUCAACUGGGGCCGGGUUGUCGCCCUUUUCUACUUUGCCAGCAAACUGGUGCUCAAGCCCUGUGCACCAAGGUGCCGGAACUGAUCAGAACCAUCAUGGGCUGGACAUUGGACUUCCUCCGGGAGCGGCUGUUGGGCUGGAUCCAAGACCAGGGUGGUUGGGUGAGACUCCUCAAGCCUCCUCACCCCCACCACCGCGCCCUCACCACCGCCCCUGCCCCACCGUCCCUGCCCCCCGCCACUCCUCUGGGACCCUGGG
rnacentral:lncRNA from 1 species